rnacentral:tRNA from 1 species
ACUUUUUUAGUAUAUUAUUAUAUUUGACUUCCAAUCAAAAGAUCUCACUGAGAAAAAGUA